rnacentral:rRNA from 1 species
UAGGGAAUCUUCCGCAAUGGACGAAAGUCUGACGGAGCAACGCCGCGUGAGUGAUGAAGGGUUUCGGCUCGUAAAGCUCUGUUAUGAGGGAAGAACACGUACCGUUCGAAUAGGGCGGUACCUUGACGGUACCUCAUCAGAAAGCCACGGCUAACUACGUGCCAGCAGCCGCGGUAAUACGUAGGUGGCAAGCGUUGUCCGGAAUUAUUGGGCGUAAAGCGCGCGCAGGCGGCCUUUUAAGUCUGAUGUGAAAUCUUGCGGCUCAACCGCAAGCGGUCAUUGGAAACUGGGAGGCUUGAGUACAGAAGAGGAGAGUGGAAUUCCACGUGUAGCGGUGAAAUGCGUAGAUAUGUGGAGGAACACCAGUGGCGAAGGCGACUCUCUGGUCUGUAACUGACGCUGAGGCGCGAAAGCGUGGGGAGCAAACA